rnacentral:rRNA from 1 species
ACGAACGCUGGCGGCGUGCUUAACACAUGCCAGUCGAACGGAAAGGCCCUGCUUGCAGGGUACUCGAGUGGCGAACGGGUGAGUAACACGUGGGUGAUCUGCCCUGCACUUCGGGAUAAGCCUGGGAAACUGGGUCUAAUACCGGAUAGGAGCCAUUUUUAGUGUGAUGGUUGGAAAGUUUUUUCGGUGUAGGAUGAGCUCGCGGCCUAUCAGCUUGUUGGUGGGGUAAUGGCCUACCAAGGCGGCGACGGGUAGCCGGCCUGAGAGGGUGGACGGCCACAUUGGGACUGAGAUACGGCCCAGACUCCUACGGGAGGCAGCAGUGGGGAAUAUUGCACAAUGGGCGCAAGCCUGAUGCAGCGACGCCGCGUGGGGGAUGACGGCCUUCGGGUUGUAAACUCCUUUCGCUAGGGACGAAGCUUUUUGUGACGGUACCUAGAUAAGAAGCACCGGCUAACUACGU